AUUGAACGCUGGCGGCAGGCCUAACACAUGAAAGUCGAGCGGAGCGGCGGACGGGUGAGUAAUGCCUAGGAAUCUGCCUGGAAGAGGGGGAUAACGUCCGGAAACGGGCGCUAAUACCGCAUACUCUCAGAUGAGCCUAGGUCGGGUUAGCUAGUUGGUGGGGUAAAGGCCUACCAAGGCGACGAUCAUUAACUGGUCUGAGAGGAUGAUCAGUCAAACUGGAACGGAGACACGGUCCAGGCUCCUUCGGGAGGCCGCAGUGUGGAAUAUUGGACAAUGGGCGAACUCCUGAUCCAGCCAGUACGCGUGGGUGAAGAAGGUCUUCGGAUUGUAAGGCAUGUUAAGUUGGGAGGCGUUACCAACAGAAUAAGCACCGGCUAACUUCGUGCCAGCAGCCGCGGUAAUAC
rnacentral:rRNA from 1 species